AUCCAACUAAAGAGUCCCAAAUAGGACAAAACGUUCGUCUUAGAU
rnacentral:hammerhead_ribozyme from 1 species